ACACACACACACUCACACACACACACACACACACUCACUCACUCACUCACUCACACACACACACACACACACACACACACACACACACACACACACACACACACACACAACAAUAGAAUAAUGUACAGGCCACUAAGAUUCCCUAAUGCACAGUGUAGGCAUUAAAAGAAAAAUCAUUCCACUGUUGCUUUGCAUUGGUGAACAUGAGAGGAGGGUUGGGCCGGGGGAGGACAGUGAGUGACUAUAAUGUCUGCAUACAUAUAUACCUACCCCUAUGGGGAGGAAAUGAAGAGAGACCGCAUAAGAGUCAGGGGCAGUAACGAUGACAAAUGUUUUCAACCCAGUAAUCGGUUAAUGCUAUGAAGCCAAAUUUACUUUAAACAGAAAGAGGGAAUAAGGCAGCCCCCAAUAGUGCGAUGAUUGCAUGGGGUUGAUGAUUGACCCUAUAAGCAUAUUUGGUACACAGACACGAGCCAUAGCCACAGUGUUCCCACGUCAUGACAUAAUGGCGGCAGGGAGCGGGGGUCAAGGCACUGUGAGCAUCCUGAGAACAGCGCUGUGAGUGUGCAACACUGAGGUUGGAGAGGGCCAGGGAGAGAGUAUUAACGAAAAAAAAACGCAUUACCAAACCAUUGGACACAUCGAAAUAGGAAACCAUUCGUUUGCCAUUGUUAGCUACAAUCCAAAAUGGAAUGGAACAAAUCUUGUCAACGAAUAAUUGGAACAAGCAAAUGCUCGGGGAUGAUUAUGAUUCAGCCAUAUGGGCCUAUACUACUGCCUGAUGCAUCUGUGUCCAGGAUACUAGAGUAGCCACUGCUAUCAAACUUUUUUGAUUUGAAGCAACCACCCCUUCAAAUAUGUAAUUCACACCUGUGUGGUCUACUUGAUCGCGCGUGAACACGCAUACGCGCGCACACACACACACACACACACACACACACACACACACACACACACACACACACACACACACACACACACACACACACACACACACGGGCGCGUGCACACGCAAACCUACACACAAAAACACACAUACACAAGACACAACAGAUUUCAGUUUGGGAGGUGAUGUGGUGGAACCACGUCGGACAGGUUGGUAAUAGAGAAUGGC
ensembl:lncRNA